ensembl:lncRNA
AUGUAACAGGGAUCAAAAGGACGUGACAAACGUUAUCGGACUUGACUUGACUCGUGACGUGAGGGCUGGUGUGCAGGGCAAAACAACAAGACACACUGGCACAGGACAAGGGGCGACGCAGACUAUAAGUACCCAUGAGGGAGUUGUGGGAACAGGUGGACACAAUCAGGAAUCAGGGGAGACAAUCAGACUGGUGACACAUGAGGAAGGGCAAGGGACCUGAAACGAGAGGGAGUUAGUUUCCAAAAUAAAACAGGAAGUCAAAAAACAACUGGAGACAGGACAAAAACGCAACUUGACAUACAGGUGUGACAUAACUAACAUCAGCAAGAACAUCAUGUUUUAUAACCCUUGAAAGACAGAGAAGGAAAGAUUUCUAUUGGCCCUAAACUGGCGUAGAGGAGGACCUUCCACCUCCCGCAUCUAAGAUCCGGUCACAUCCAAUGUCCAGACUCCUGACUUAACGUAAACAUCGUAAACAGAGUGUGUAUGUUGAAUAGUGUUGGUGUGUCUCUAACCCCCCUUAGGCUAGCAAAUCUGCUAGUUGACCUGCAGAUCUUGCAUUCCUCAGCCUGGACAGAAACUGACUCCCCAUCCUGUCAGACUCGUGUCUGCCUGCUCGACAUCUUGCUUCCCCCCUUACCUAACUCUUAAAUCAAGACAAGACAGCGAACCCCCAACUAAGCCCAUGAAAAGACAUUUUGAUUAUCACCCAAGUGUCCAGAACAUGCGGCCUCAGAUCAGACGAUACGAUUACAAAAUCGAUCAUUGAUCUUUGGCCUAGGAUGUUCUGGUACCACGUACACUUAUUAACAUCCUUACGUUCGAACAUGGUGUUUGUUAUAGACAAUCCGUGACUAGCACAGAAGUCCAAUAACAAACAACCGCUCGGGUUCAGAUCAGGGAGGCCAUUUCUCCCAAUCACGCCUCUCCAGUUAUCUCCAUCGUCGCCCACGUGCGCAUUGAAGUCUCCCAGUAGGACUAUGGAGUCCCCUACUGGAGCCCCAUGCAGGACUCCAUUCAGGGUCUCCAAAAAGGCUGAAUAAUUUGAGCUGCUGUUUGGUACAUAUGCAAAGACAAUAGUCAGAGCUUUCCCCUCCACCACCUGAAGGCAUAGGGAGGUGACCCUUUUGUCCACUGGGGUAAAGUCCAAUGUAGCAGCACUCAGCUGGGGACUUGAGUAUCCCCACACCCGGAGUAGAAUAGAGUCCAUCUCCUAUCCAGGAGUGUGGUUCCAGAGCCGAGGCUGUGCGUAGAGGUAAGCCCCACCAGAUCCAACUGACGCUUCACCUCCCGCACAAGCUCCGGCUCCUUCCCCCCCAGAGAGGUUACGUUCCCCAUCCCCAGAGCCAGAAUCUGCCGCCAAGGUCUGUUCCUUCUAGACCCCCCACAUUAGGAUUCACGUUUGUUAAUUGUGUCAAAGAACCUACUAAAAGGUCAAUUUAUUUUUUUACUAAGAUCAAAGAUGUCCAUGAAUGUAUAAAUGUUAGACGAAUGUUUAUUUUCGAGAAUCUUUAACUUGUAUAUACAAAAUAGUCAGUGAAUUUAUUGUCAUGAAAGUGUUGUACGGAUAAAUGUACGUCUUUGUCUGGAAUUAUUGAUCAAUCUGUUUGUAUUGCAUUUCAACUUGAGAUACUUUGAGAUAUGAUCUUUUUGAACAUGCAAUUAUAGGGCUUUUACUUUGGUGAAAUCUCCAAAUCUGUACAGUAAAAAUGUUAGAUAUUUAUCAUGCUAGUAGUCAGAGAGGUUCUUAACACAGGUACAUUGGUCUUGGUCUGGAACUAUUGAUCAACCUGUUUUUAUUGCAGUUCAAACUUUGAGAAAUGGUCUUUUUGAACGAGCAAAAAUAGGGCUUUUACUUUGAAGAAAUCUCCAAAUCUGCACAGUAAAAGUACUUGAUAUUCAGUAUGGUAGUAGUCAGAGAGGUCCUUAACACAGGUACAUAGGUCUUGGCCUGUAACUAUUGAUCAAUCUGUUUUUAUGGCAGUCCAAUCUUUGAGGAAUGGUGUUGUAACGCAUCACAGGAGACAGGAGUUGACCCAAGUGCAGAGCGGAGAUUUAAUGAAGAACAGGUAUACAGGGAUUAGGCUUAGUCAUAUCCAAAAGACAGGUGGGAGGUCGAUAUCCAGGAGCACGGACAAGGGCAAAGGUACAGUCAGGAAUCAGGCAGGAGGCAACGAGGUCUGGAACAAAAAGGGGUCUUCAACGAGAGUACAAAACAGGAUAUCCAAAUAGCGCUCAGAAUGUGAUAACAAUUACACAAGACUUUGCAAAGAACACAGAGGGAUAAGGGGUAUAUAUACAGACCAGCUUGAUGGGGAACCAGACACCGGUGAGUGGGCGUGCACAACAGACAGACACACAGUGGAACAAACCAACACAAAACGGGACAGACCAACUGCACAGUAAACAGGGGGGGAGUUUGGGGACCAGAUAUUGAAGGCCUCAGUACUCUGGGGAGCGCCAGAUCGUGACAGGUGUUUUUGAACGUGCAAUUAUAGGGCUUUUGCUUUGGUGAAAUCUGUCAAACUGUACAGUAAAAAUGUUUCAAAUUCAUCAUGGUAGUAGUCAGAGAGGUCCUUAACACAUGUGCAUUAGUCUCAGUCUGGAACUAUUGAUCAAUCUGUUUUAAUUGCAGUUCAAACUUUGAGAAGUGGUGUUUUUGAACUUGAAAAAAUAGGGCUUUUACUUUGCAGAUAUCUCCAAAUCUGUAAAGUAAAAAUGUUUCAAAUUCAGCAUGUCAGUAGUCAGAGAGGUCCUUAACACAGGUACAUUGAUCUUGGACUGGAACUAUAGGGAAAUCAGUUUUUAUUGCAGCUCAAAUAUGGAGAAAUUGUGUUUUUGAAAUUUUAAUUAUAGGGCUUUUACUUGCGAAAUCUCCAAAUUUUUACUGUACAAAUAUUUAUUUUAUUGUACACCAGUAGUCCUUUACACACAUAGUUCUAUCAUUGUCUGGAAUUUGCUAUUUAAUUAGCCUUUUUUCGGGUUACUUGUUCAAUACCGUAAAUGUCAGCAUAUGCGUGCACUAAAUUUCAAGCGUCGGCUGAGUUACAUUACAUUACAGGUCAUUUAGCAGACGCUUUUAUCCAAAGCGACUUACAUUACACUUUAAACCCAUGGCUUUUCUCACAUUUUUGCCUGGGGAGCAAUUCGGGGUUAGGUGUCUUGCUCAGGGACACUUCGACAUGGAACAUGGGGCAGCCUGGAAUCGAGUUGACCGCAGUCAUCAGUUAUGCGCCACAUGUUGACAGUACCAGCUAUUAACAAGUUCUAACGUUACUUUAUUACAACUAACAGCAGCAUGUUUUAUUCAUGUGUCAUUCAACAGUCCAGUAGAAUUGUGAUAUUUGUCAUUUAUGUGGAAUAAUUCGUCAUUUAUGUGUGUGGGGAUCUCCGAUCCCCCCGAGUCGUUUGAUGAGAAGGAUCGCAGCACGUUGAUUAAUUAAAGUCAAAAAGUUAACAUUUAUUUAGAAGAGAAAAAGAUUACAUAAGCAAUUCUCCCCAGAUAUCUGGCACUAACUAUUGCUUGCAAGCAGGAGGUCUCACACAAGCACGUAUUUCAGCGUUCGGUGUAAAUGGCGUCUCCGAGCAGUAAAAACACUCAGUCUUUAUACACAUGAAGACCGUCCUCAGUGCCAGUUACAAGAAGCUACAAAUCAGGUUGAGAUAAGGUGAAGAUGAGGGUAACACACAAUGCUAGUUUGUUCGAGCGUCUGUGAGAGCAAGUUAACUCCCUUCUUCAGACACAGCUGCAUAUGAAAACUUUAAAUCUUUCUGCUUUUGCACAUCAGGGUCAAAUACAGACACUUCAGACACAGGUUUAGCACAAGACAAAUGUCUUGUUGUGGAAUAACAACCAUUCAAAAAGAUGUGCAUAUUUAGAGACAGACAUCGGUUGCCUCUGAUAGGAAGGAUUUAAUGACAAGAGGAAAUACUGUAAUACAGUGUUAAUUUCGUCGACGAAAACUAUGACAAAUUUUUUGUUAACAACCUUUUAAUCCAUGACUAAAACGAGACUAAGACGUUACUUAAAAAAUAAAAACCAUGACUAAAUCUAUUCUAACUUUCGUUAACGAGACAAACAUGUUUUUUCCCCCUAAAUUCGCCCGCAGCUGACAGACAACAGACAGGAAAAGUACGGCGGUUAUUAACGUGUCAUGAUGACGUCAUCCACGAACCCAGAACGCUCACUCGCAUCGGUGCAGCGGUGCUUCUUGUGCACGACUGCGGACCGCGACGACUAUUUUACGCUUCGGCGAGUUUGAACGUGGCUUCGUUAGUUUAGCUCAGCUGUCUCUGGUUAGCUGCCUGUUAGCUGCCUGUUAGCUGCCUGUUAGCAGGCUGAAGCCGUGCUGCUUCACAGAAACAUGAAGACCCGUUUAACAGCUCGGGGCUGUUAACACGUUUAACAUAAUAAACUCAUUGCAGGUUCUCAAGCCUCACGCAUUUCAACUAUAGUUCACACGCCACAUCGUGAGAAGACGGUGUUAAACCGUCUCGGCCACCGUACGCUCGUUACUAAGCAACGUAGAGGCGCGCACACGCGUGACAGGUGGAGCCUUUUGAUAGAAGUGCGCAGUGCAGGUGAAGGACGUGGCGGCACAGAGCAGGUGGAGGAAAACCCGCAGGACACAAGAGACAAGAACUGGUCAUGAAACCAAGAGACAAGAACUGGUCAUGAAACCAACAAAUAAACAAAGACAAAGAAAAAGAAAAGACUGUUGAAUGAAAAGUGUUGGUCCAGUUUAGAAUGGCUGCUUUUUGAUGCAGCCUAGAAAAUAAUGUAUUUCACCGAUUGUAGGACAUUAAGGUCUCUUUAGUUGGGACGAGUAUCACGACUCAGACAGAGACCCGAACGCAGAUAUGAGGAAUAAGGUUUAAUGAAGAGGAAUUCGGGCAGGCAGUGUCGUUGUCGGAAGCAGGCAGGAGUUCGGUGCACGGGAGAUCAGGGGUUCAGAGGUGGCAGGCCGUGUCGUUGUCAGAGGCAGGCAGGGGUCAGUACACGGGGGAUCUCAAGAAUCGACUGGAAACUACGGGGAUAUAACGCUGGUAAGACCUGGUGAAACACACAAGACGAACUGGCAACAAGUACAGGGAGAAGACACAGGUUAUAUGCCCAAGGGAUAAUUGACAAACAGGGAACACCUGGUUUGGGAGGAGACAGGGGAAAAACAGGUGAAUACGGGUGAACACAAUUAGGGCGUGACAACGAGCAAUUUCACAGUGGAAACAAUAAAGGACCAUGAAGUUUCAAAAGCAUUGCAAGUAAACAGACAAAGACAACAAAGUGUUGUGUUUAGAUCCCUGGUCCUCAUGAAGUUGUUACACCUUUGCCAAUUUGUUAAAUUGCCUUGCAAAUAAAUGCUUUGCUAUUUGUUAAAAUCCAAAUCCUUUCCUUUCACAUGUCAUUUAUAUUCGCUCACACAAACACUUCAACCAUUUGUUCUUGGCCCGGCUCCUCCGUCACAUUUUACAACCCAUUGUGGCCCGGCAGUCAAAAAGUUUGCCGACCUGCUAUAAACCUGUCCUAGGAGGGACAUCUAAUGGACAACCAAGUACUGCAAGCUAGACCAUUAUGCAGUUGUAGACACAACACAGGGGGUCCCUGGACCUGAGAAGGGAAGAAAAGGAGUUUAAUAUGGCUAUUAAAUGGCACUAAAACUAGACUAAAACUAAUUACAUUUUAGUCUAGUUUUCGUCGACGAAAAGUAGACUAAAACUAAGAAGGAUUAAAAUGACUAAAUGUGACUAAAACUAAUAUGCAUAAGACUAAAUCAAAAAUAGCUUACAAAAUUAACACUGCUGUAAUAUAACUGAUGUCAUAGAUGGGAGUGUCACGUGUCAUGUAGGGUCCAUUUGUUUAGAUGGAACACCCUUGUGGUGGCGGGCGUGGUUUGGCUCGGCUGCAGAGGGGACGGAGAAGGGAGUGGCUCAGGGAACGGUGCCAGGUGGAGGCAAUUGGCCUCAGCUGAGCCAGAGGACCGGCCGUUCACGUACGGGCAGCGGCUCAAGGAUGCCGUGAGCAGAUGGCUGCUGCCUAACGGCGAUGGGGUGGAGUGGAAGCAGUGAUGGAGAAGGUGGUGUUGGAGCAGUUUGCAGAGGGGCUCCCGACCCGGACGGCAGCGUGGGUGAAAUACCACCGCCCGCCGACCCUCAGAGCUGCCAUCACCCUUGCGGAGGAUCACCUGGCGGUGCACCCCGGCAGACAGCGGGACCAGGGGGGUACGCCAUCCCCGGCCCGACCAGCGCAACGGGGAGGGGGGCAGCAGCCGGCGGCGGAGCGACCCGUGCCGACCCCACGACGGACAUCGUUCCUCCCGGCCCGCUACUCACCGACCCCAGAGAACACCGGUGCCCUGGGCACAGUGAUCCGGGUUGCUGGCGUUCCAACACCCUCCCCCGGCCCGGGAGCGUUGUACCGCAUUCCGGUAAGGAUCCAGGGGGGUAUACGCCAGGCGAUGGUGGACUCGGGCUGCACGCAGUCUAUGAUUCAUCAGAGCCUGGUUCGGCCGGGGGCAUUGGUGGAGGCAGACCGGGUGAGACUAUGGUGUGUGCAUGGGUAAUGUUCACGUGUAUCCUGUGGUAUCUCGACUAGAUCUCGACUCUUCGCUGUCCUUGCGCCGAAAUGGUGGAACAAGCUCCCUGAAGACACCAGGACCGCAGAGAGCCUUCACAUCUUCCGCCGCAAACUAAAGACACACCUCUUCAGACUCUACCUCGACUAAAGACUAACGAAUUGUAGCACUUAAAUUGUACUUGUAACGUCACUCAUCUAUAGCAAAUUGUAAAUUGGCUUAUUUGAGGAAAUUGCACUUUCUUGUUCUGAGUUUGUACUCUAUGGUUGAAUGCACUUAUUGUACGUCGCUUUGGAUAAAAGCGUCCGCUAAAUGACAUGUAAUGUAAUAAUAUCGGUGGAAAUUAGGUAUGAGGGGAAAAAGCAUAGAAUGAAGGUCGCGGUUAGCUCCCGCCUGACGCACCCCGUCAUUUUGGGUACAGAUUGGCCGGGGUUUGAUAGCUAAUGGGGGGGCUACGGGGGUGCGUUCACGACCGACAGGGAGAUGUGCGCUGUGCUCAGCGGUGACGCAGGGUCGUCCGACACUGCAGACGGGGAGGGGGAACCCGCAGAGCCUCCCUUGGAGACUCCGCUGGCUCCCGAGUUUCGCUCCAUGGAAGAUUUUCCACUCUAACAGUCUCGUGACGAUACCCUACGCUCAGCCUACGACCAAGUGAUACGAGUUGAUGGUCAUCUGGUGCGCCCUGAUGCAGCGCAGUCAUUUCUGCACUUUUCGUUGAUUAGGGACAGACUGUAUAGAGUGAGUCAGACGGGGCAGGAAAACACUCAGUUGCUGGUGCCAAAAAGCCGCCGGGAAAUGAUUUUCCAGGCAGCUCACUAUAACCCGAUGGCUGGUCACAUGGGAUACAAGAAAACACUAGACCGGAUAAUGACCCGAUUUUAUUGGCCAGGCAUCCGGGGGGACGUGCGCCGCCGGUGCGCGUACUGCCCGGAGUGUCAGUUAGUGAACGCUCCGGCCAUUCCGAGGGCGCCGUUGCGUCCUCUACCGUUGGUGGAGGUUCCGUUCGAGCGGAUCGGCAUGGACCUCAUCGGGCCGUUUCACCGGAGCGCACGCGGAUAUCGCAGAUAUCACACGCGGAUAUCGCUUUGUGUUGUGGGCGUGAGGAGUGCAGAUGAAGGAGGGGGUCCCGGGUGAUGAUCUCCUCGACAGUGCGCGGUGCCCAGUGGUCCUCCCACGUGCAGGAACAGACAGGUGUCACUGUAACCGAGGAGGUGAGACAAGAGGUAAGUAACAGGAUUUACACUGAAUGAAAAGAGAACAGCCGGCUCUCGGCUUGACUGGGUGCUGGUCACUGAGACUCGCGAAGACUGAGGUCGACAUAGGUGACGUGAGUAACGAUCCGACGUCGGCCGGUUGUCAGGCUCUCCCUCUUAUCCCCUGGUGAUUGUGGCUCCGGUGCAGGUGCGUGAUUGCAGAGCUGAGACAGGUACGUGCGAGGCCGACCUAAACCAGCCUUUACCUGGGUCCGGAGGGGGGAACUCUGACAACGCGUUAUCCGGAGGCAGAGCCGUUGCACAAUAUCUCUGCAAAGAGCUUCGCGCAGGCUCUGUUUCAGGUCAUCUCCCGAGUUGGAAUCCCUAAGGAGAUUCUGACUGACCAGGGCACUACGUUCAUGUCGUGCACACUGAGAGAACUUUACGGGUUACUGGGCAUUAAGGCCGUUCGUAACUUUUAUUAAGUUCGUACGAGCGUGUAUCACCCGCAGACGAACGGGCUGGUGGAACGCAUAUGGUAAUGAUGGUAAAUGAUGGUUGUAGCUGGUUGUCAUCUACGGUCCACUACGGUUACCGAACGUUUUAUCUCAGAAAUUCGACUUUCUAUCCCCUUACAUUAGUGCAGAAAUGGGCUUCUAUAGUUGUGUGAAUGCAUCACUCCAGCCAAUCCAAACACGGGGUUUGUAACCAAUCAGAUGUAGAUACCAUGGUGACUGGCUCCGCCCCCUUACUGUCAAAAAGAAAAACAGCGAGCGCGUAGAAAACACCUUCGAGCGCGAGCAGAGACUAACCUCGCAAGCGAGGAAGUUCACGUUUCGCGAGAGGGCAAAUAUCUCGCGCAAGAUGGACUUUUGCUCACGCGAGACGGACAUUUGCUCGCGGAUGUUUGAUUGAGGUGCGCGCAUCAACCUGAUUUACGCUCUCAAAUUUUGACAGUGAUUUGCCGCCAAACCAGAUGCCCCCCAGUGCCCAGGCGCCUUACAGGGCAAAGAGGCCAGAGGAGGUGGACUCGGAGGCCUGGACUUUCGUUGUCACCGAGGGCGGUGACACCACCAACGCCUCCCUGGUCCUGAGCCGGUGGAAGGUGCAGUUGGGUCGCUACCAGGGCAGAACCUUCCACUGGCUUUUGGAGAACGACGUGGGCUACAGCGUCAAUCUGGUCGCCUCCCACCAGAAAGAGCGCCAGAGGACGGAGGCUCAGUCCCCGCUGAUGGCCAACGAGGUUAAGUCCUUCAUAACACUUUCAGACAGUUACAAUUAGAGAAAUUAUGAUAUUUAACCUCAUAGUGUAAUCUCACUGUGUAACCUCACAGGACCCCUUCACCCGCUACUCCUCCACCUACAAGGACUUUGUGGAGACAGUCAGGUUCCACCGGGCAUUUGAGGAGGCGCGGGCAAAUUCCCUCCAGCCCGGUCAGCAGGGACGGGCCCUUGUUGGCUUCGGGGACUUUAAGUUUGAGUCCCUGGAGAGCCUUUACGAGGCAACGGACAACAAAAAGAUCCGGUGAAAAAGAUCAUUAUUAUUACUAUAGUCACGUUACUGUGGCGACCAUCGAUCAUCAGAAUCAUGUGAGUGUUGAUUGUUUGAUUUGUGCAGUUUUGUCAAAUACCUCCGGAGGACGUCACCAGCUCCAGGGACGCAGAUGGAGAACGCCGUCCAGUAUGUGCGCAACAGAGACAGACAGAGGAUGAAAGCUGCUGCUGGAGCAUCUACCUCCUCCACCGCCUCCAGCAGCAGCGCAGCCUCUGCAUCGCCCGCAACCCUGAGAGCCAGGAGUGCAUCACAAGUGCUUUUUGUAAUGUUGUCUCAAUUAUUGUUGCGUGUCAUUUAUCGUGUGUCAUAAUAGGCCUCUUGGUCCAGCGCUUGUGGUGUUUGUCUCUAUCUGCUGUGGAGAUGCAGGCCCAGGUGAAGAAGCUGGUGGCCCCUAAGCCUGCAUCUACAGGUCAGUCCAGCCUCAGUUAUUUACUGAUGUUCCACUUGAUCUACGCUCCCGUGUUCCUGGUUUAUCUUCUGUCAUCAUGUGUCUGCAGCCCCCCACUUCAGCCCCUUCCGACCAGCUCUGUCCUCCCCCCGGUCAUCUGUGGAGACUUGAGAUGAAGAGCUGGUCACGGAGGUAGUUGACUUGGAGACAGACGUGUAAGUAAAGAGUAAAGUCAUAAACAGGAAACACUUUGUUCACAAAGUACUAAAAAAAGCGUCAACAAUCAAUAUGACUUUAAAACGUUUCUUGAUCAGAGGACGAAAGCAGAUGACUGGUAAGUUUUGGGUCAGCGAUUUGAUGAUCAUCUUGGAUCAAUAACCCACCUCUACAAAUAACAUUGUCUUUUUCACUGUGCUUUCAUCAGUGCCUGGCUAGCUCAACAUCUGCAUGGCUAACUAGUUAUCAUCUCACCCUGACUUUCUCUCUUUAAAACCACCUCCUGAUCUCUUGUGGUGUGUAAAUGCAGCUCUUCGUCAGUCUCUCAGUAUUAAUAAUAAUUCAUCUUAAUCUCAAGCGUUUACCUCAAACAUUUAUUUUACCUUGCAAAAGGCCCCUCUUUUACUCCUGCCACCACCCGCUGCGAUCGUCGCCACCUCCUCUUCCUCGGCAGCACCUCCUCCUCCAGGAGCUGGUGUCUCUGCUCUGCUGGACAAGCCCACAGACGAGGAGCUGCUGGAAGCCUCGCAGGAGAUAGACGCCCUGAUGGAACUUCCUACAGCCCUUGUCGUGGUUCAGCCUGCAGGGACACCGGCUCCCUUGCCUCCAGCCGCCGUCUGCACCCGUCGCCAUGGAGGAACAGGAGGAGUUGCCCGGUCCAGGCUUCCUCCCUCCCCCUCCAUCUUCUGUCAGUGAGGUGAGGCAGUAUCUCUAACACGUGAGACCACAGGUGUCCCUGCUGAUUGUCUAUAGAUAUUAAAAUGGUUUUAUGUUUGUGCUGUCAUCUCACCAGUUGCUGCCUCAGUCCUGGAGGGCAGCUCUCACUGUGGAGCGGCAGCAGUGGAUCGGAUGGGUGCUGUUUACCAGGGACAGCCAGUGGAGGCCUUGGCUCGUCGGUGAGCUCAACCUCUGUUGGCACCCCCCCAAUCCCGGCCGGUCUACAACCAGCCUUCCGCAUCCCCCGACCCCUUCUUCACAUGUCGGCUGUUCCUCUGGAUGCCACACCGGAUUUGCAGCUGACAUGCCCCUAGCCAUUGUGCACUGGGUCCUUGAUCAAGGCUGGGCUGUACAGGACCAUCCGGAGGGUCCUGGACAUCGACGGCUGGUACCUCAUGGGCACAGAGUACCUGGAGUGCCGUCGAUGUAAGAAGCACGUCGGAGGGUGGUCACAGGGCAUCAUCAGGCAGCUGUCCCCCACCCAUAGCUGCCAGUUCCCAGCUGUACUCACGUACAAGUAAGGAGGCAUUUCUUCACCAUUUGUGUUGAACAUCCCGUUGGAGGUGCAGACUCAGCUCUACGUGAUGUUGGCGUUCUGCAGGCUGUCCUGUGACAUGAGGGUGGUGAUACAGCUGAGGUCCCGCACUCUGCGCAACAGUGCCAACCAGCUGUACAACACCCUGCGGGAGCAGCACUCGGACACCUGGAUGCGGAGAGCGAUCCAGUACCUCAGCGUGUGCGAGCGAUUCCUGGCCUUGGGCUCGGCAAGGGGGCAGAUUCCACCUCUGCCAUCCCCCGUCUGGCUGCUGACUGUAUACAGCUACGACGUCCUGGCGCGGCUGGAAGAGUACAAGGCCAGGAUCACGUCCACCUUAGGGUCCAUCUUAAAGAUGGAUUCCACCAAGGCGGCGAGUGCAGUCUGUCAGUUUCUUUUCCUUCCAGCUGCUGUGUGUUUCUCACAUUAACUCUCAGAAUCUCUCUGCUCGUGGGUAUCUCCUCCGACACGGCCGCCUGGGCAACCAACGUCGGCAAUGAGCACGGGCAGGUCUUCAUGAGCGUCCUCACUUGCACCGAGAGCGCUGGGGGCCUGUCCAGGAUGGCGGCGGGCUUGAUGAGGCAGUACCGACUGGCUGGGGCGACGCUUCCCAUCAGGUGUCGACACCGAGAGCCACGAGCUGUACCCCGCCUUCAUGGGGAAGCUGUCUCACUGCAUCUUCUACGCCGGAGAUGCACGCCAUCUCGCAGAGGCUAAGCGGUCCCGGCUGGAGGGGAAGCACGGGAUGGUUGGACUGACCGACGCUGCGGUGAUCCAGAGGAUCUCCAGGGAGGAGUGGAGGCUCCACUGCCGUUGCAGGACACGUGGGCCUGAGGAAUCGGCCCUCCUCGACACCUUCGGUGGACCGGCAGGACGCAACAACCUGGGCAUCCCGUUGCUCAACAGUCUCCGCUUCCAGGACAUAUGGAGUACGCAGAGGACCCACCUCAGCUGCAUCCAGGACCUGCCAGGUGUGCAGCUGUAAACCCAGAUGGGCCGGCUGACCAAGGGAGGAGUCAGCCUGCCCAUUUAUCGCUGCGCAGGGGCUCCACCCUCUCUGGAGUCCUUCCACCUCCACCAUAACUGGUUCAUCCCAGGUACCGGCAUGUGUCUCACAGCUUGUGACAAAUGUACUCUCCAUUUACAGUGCCAAGCACUUACAGGCGUUCCUGGUGAAUGGACUGGUGAGGUGGAGCGAGGACCGCGCAGCAGCAGCUGCACCACCACCGGCUGCAGAUGAGGGACGGCUGGGACCUCUGCACUCCUACAGUGGCCACCUCAAGCACGUUGUUAACCAGAAGAGCCAAAGAGUGCUUGGUCUUCAGGUGGUUAAGGACUUCACCGAGCUGGCUAAGUACACAGGUAUGCGAUGUGAAAACACCUCAUUUCAUAACAGAGCAAAACGAGCCGUGACUGAUUCCUUCUCUGUGUGAGAGGGGAGCACAUCGGAGUUGAGUACCUGUACCAGCAGAAAGGCAAAGUGCUUGAGGACGUCAGCCUGGACCCUGACACUCCGGACGAGGCUCCUACCAUCGAGGCGCUGGAGGAGGACGAGGGCAUCGAGGAAGACUUAGCGGACCCUACAGUCUUCGGGCCCGAUACUCCAUCCUCCAGCGUGGCAGCAUCUCGGUCAGGUGAUCCAGCUGACGCACCGUCUAAGCCAUCCCGAUUUGGUCAAGUUGCCCCUCCUGAGGCCCCAGAGGUUCAGGACCCUGAUCCCCAGCAGCCCUCCUCAGACUCUGAACUAAGUUCACAUACUGAUGAUUGUGAGAUCGAGUCUCUUACAGCACUGUGUUUACUGGCUUUGUUCCUCCUCGUUUCUUCUCAGGAGAACAUCCAGGGUCCUGAUGGCCUGGGUACCAGCACGUCCUGAACCUGGCCUAGGCGCUGGUGGAAGGGAGGAACCUUCUGGGGCUGCCUGAGAGUAGAACGACUCAUCCUGCUUUGGACUCGCUUGGCGGAGCAGGACAAGCGGCGAGUCAACUACCCUCCCAGAUACCGGGAGAGGCAACCAAAGAGCCGGUUCAAGGCAGCGAAGGGGAAGAACACCUCCUGUGCUGGAAAGGAGAGUCUCCAACGGUGAGACUGCUUUAGAGCAGGAAUCUUUCCUCUGGUACAUAUCUGCUGUGUACUGACCCACACUCUGCUCCUCGUGACUUUUUCAGCUGCCUCCUCGGGGUCAACUCAGGGCCUUCCACCUGGCCAGUGCCAGCCGCCUGGUGGAGGCCACCAGAACUAAUAACUACCCCACCAUACACAAGCACUCACAUACACACAACCAGAGUGACACCCCCCCCCCCCCCGGGGGGAACAAACACAGGG